rnacentral:rRNA from 1 species
UACGUAGGGAGCAAGCGUUGUCCGGAAUCAUUGGGCGUAAAGAGCGCGUAGGUGGCUGCAUAAGUCCGUUGUGAAAGUCAAAGGCUCAACCUUUGAAAGCCGAUGGAUACUGUGGAGCUAGAGUACGGAAGAGGCGAGUGGAAUUCCUGGUGUAGCGGUGAAAUGCGCAGAUAUCAGGAGGAACACCGGUGGCGAAGGCGGGUCUCUGGGCCGAUACUGACGCUGAGGAGCGAAAGCGUGGGGAGCAAACAGG